rnacentral:lncRNA from 1 species
CCGGUAGUGUACUAAACAGAGUGAGUACGGUAGUGUACUAAACAGAGUGAGUACGGUAGUGUGCUAAACAGAGUGAGUACGGUAGUAAACAGAGUGAGUAGUGCACCAAACAGAGUGAGUAACGGUAUGUACCAAACAGAGUGAGUACGGUAGUGUAGCAAACAGAGUGAGUACGGUAGUGUAGCAAACAGAGUGAGUACGGUAGUGUGCUAAACAGAGUGAGUACGGUAGUGUAGCAAACAGAGUGAGAACGGUAGUGUGCCAAACAGAGUGAGUACGGUAGUGUGCCAAACAGAGCGAGCACGGAACGGCAGCAAACAGAGUGAGCACGGUAGUGUGCCAAACAGAGUGAGCAACGGCAGUGCGCCAAA